rnacentral:rRNA from 1 species
AGCGGCGGACGGGUGAGUAAUGCUUAGGAAUCUGCCUAUUAGUGGGGGACAACAUUCCGAAAGGAAUGCUAAUACCGCAUACGUCCUACGGGAGAAAGCAGGGGAUCUUCGGACCUUGCGCUAAUAGAUGAGCCUAAGUCGGAUUAGCUAGUUGGUGGGGUAAAGGCCUACCAAGGCGACGAUCUGUAGCGGGUCUGAGAGGAUGAUCCGCCACACUGGGACUGAGACACGGCCCAGACUCCUACGGGAGGCAGCAGUGGGGAAUAUUGGACAAUGGGCGGAAGCCUGAUCCAGCCAUGCCGCGUGUGUGAAGAAGGCCUUUUGGUUGUAAAGCACUUUAAGCGAGGAGGAGGCUACCUAGAUUAAUACUCUGGGAUAGUGGACGUUACUCGCAGAAUAAGCACCGGCUAACUCUGUGCCAGCAGCCGCGGUAAUACAGAGGGUGCGAGCGUUAAUCGGAUUUACUGGGCGUAAAGCGUGCGUAGGCGGCUGAUUAAGUCGGAUGUGAAAUCCCUGAGCUUAACUUAGGAAUUGCAUUCGAUACUGGUCGGCUAGAGUAUGGGAGAGGAUGGUAGAAUUCCAGGUGUAGCGGUGAAAUGCGUAGAGAUCUGGAGGAAUACCGAUGGCGAAGGCAGCCAUCUGGCCUAAUACUGACGCUGAGGUACGAAAGCAUGGGGAGCAAACAGGAUUAGAUACCCUGGUAGUCCAUGCCGUAAACGAUGUCUACUAGC